rnacentral:rRNA from 1 species
AGGUUACUGCUAUCGGUGUUCGCCUAAGCCAUGCGAGUCAUAUGUUCUUCGUGAACAUGGCGUACUGCUCAGUAACACGUGGAUAACCUGCCCUUGGGUCCGGCAUAACCCCGGAAAACUGGGGAUAAUUCCGGAUAACGCACAUAUGCUGGAAUGCUUUAUGCGUCAAAUGGAUUCGUCCGCCCAAGGAUGGGUCUGCGGCCUAUCAGGUAGUAGUGGGUGUAAUGUACCUACUAGCCUACGACGGGUACGGGUUGUGAGAGCAAGAGCCCGGAGAUGGAUUCUGAGACAUGAAUCCAGGCCCUACGGGGCGCAGCAGGCGCGAAAACUUUAUAAUGCGGGAAACCGUGAUAAGGGGACACCGAGUGCCAGCAUCAUAUGUUGGCUGUCCGGGUGUGUAAAAUACACCUGUUAGCAAGGGCCGGGCAAGACCGGUGCCAGCCGCCGCGGUAACACCGGCGGCCCGAGUGGUGAUCGUGAUUAUUGGGUCUAAAGGGUCCGUAGCCGGUUUGGUCAGUCCUCCGGGAAAUCUGACGGCUUAACCGUUAGGCUUUCGGGGGAUACUGCCAGACUUGGAACCGGGAGAGGUAAGAGGUACUACAGGGGUAGGAGUGAAAUCUUGUAAUCCCUGUGGGACCACCUGUGGCGAAAGCGUCUUACCAGAACGGGUUCGACGGUGAGGGACGAAAGCUGGGGGCACGAACCGGAUUAGAUACCCGGGUGGUCCCAGCCGUAAACGAUGCUCGCUAGGUGUCAGGCAUGGCGCGACCGUGUCUGGUGCCGCAGGGAAGCCGUGAAGCGAGCCACCUGGGAAGUACGGCCGCAAGGCUGAAACUUA